rnacentral:rRNA from 1 species
GACGAACGCUGGCGGCGUGCUUAACACAUGCAAGUCGAACGGAAAGGCCCUGCUUUUGUGGGGUGCUCGAGUGGCGAACGGGUGAGUAACACGUGAGUAACCUGCCCUUGACUUUGGGAUAACUUCAGGAAACUGGGGCUAAUACCGGAUAGGAGCUCCUGCUGCAUGGUGGGGGUUGGAAAGUUUCGGCGGUUGGGGAUGGACUCGCGGCUUAUCAGCUUGUUGGUGGGGUAGUGGCUUACCAAGGCUUUGACGGGUAGCCGGCCUGAGAGGGUGACCGGCCACAUUGGGACUGAGAUACGGCCCAGGCUCCUACGGGAGGCAGCAGUGGGGAAUAUUGCACAAUGGGCGGAAGCCUGAUGCAGCAACGCCGCGUGCGGGAUGACGGCCUUCGGGUUGGAAACCGCUUUCGCCUGUGACGAAGCGUGAGUGACGGUAAUGGGUAAAGAAGCACCGGCUAACUACGU